CAUUACAGAGUUUUCUAACUCCCAAACCCAUGUGAACUUACCACUGUUGCCUCGGCGGAGCCUACCCUGUAGCUACCCUGUAGCGUGAUUACCCUGUAGGGUGGUUACCCUGUAGCGUGGUUACCCUGUAGCGCCCCGCCGGCGGAUUUUCAAACUCUUGUUAUUUUUUAAGUCAUCUGAGAGUCUUAUUUUAAAUAAGUCAAAACUUUCAACAACGGAUCUCUUGGUUCUGGCAUCGAUGAAGAACGCAGCGAAAUGCGAUAAGUAAUGUGAAUUGCAGAAUUCAGUGAAUCAUCGAAUCUUUGAACGCACAUUGCGCCCAUUAGUAUUCUAGUGGGCAUGCCUGUUCGAGCGUCAUUUCAACCCUUAAGCCUAGCUUAGUGUUGGGAAUCUAUGUGUGGCCCAAGCUACCCUGUAGCGUGGUUACCCUGUAGUUCCUGAAAAACAACGGCGGAUUUAUAGUGUCCUCUGAGCGUAGUAAUUUUUUAUCUCGCUUCUGUUUAGGCGCUGCAGACCCGGCCGCUAAACCCCCAAUUUUUCGUGGUUGACCUCGGAUCAGGUAGGAAUACCCGCUGAACUUAAGCA
rnacentral:rRNA from 1 species